rnacentral:rRNA from 1 species
UACGUAGGGCGCAAGCGUUAUCCGGAAUUAUUGGGCGUAAAGCGCGUGUAGGCGGCUUUGCAAGUCGGGUGUGAAAGCCCUCGGCUCAACCGAGGAAGUGCGCCCGAAACUGCAGAGCUUGAGUACCGGAGAGGAUGGCGGAAUUCCCCAAGUAGAGGUGAAAUUCGUAGAUAUGGGGAGGAACACCGGUGGCGAAGGCGGCCAUCUGGACGGAUACUGACGCUGAGACGGCGAAAAGCGUGGGUAGCAAACAGG